CGGUAGCGUUGUGGAAGUAUUGUUGUUAGAUUAUGGCUAAUUAUCAUCCGCAUUCUAAUGUGGGUGUUUAGUUUGUUAAACAUAUGUGCUCUUUUGUUAACUUAAAAUAUGGUUAGGGUUAGUCUCUCUGAAAUUUCACCAGAUAUUAAGAUGAAAAUUGGGAAGGCGGACGUCGACGUUAAACAGUAUUAUUUCAUGGCUUAUUCUCAUACCCGUGGAGCUGAACUAACCUGGUGGAUGGAACAUCGUUUAUGACUUCGUAAUGUGUUGAAUGUACUAAUUUAUUGUGGAGCAGCCUUCUAUUGUUAAAGCUGAGCCUUCUACCUGCAACAGGCUAUCUGAACAAAUUUGGUGCAAUAGCAAUUAUAUUAAGGGGAGUUGGCAGAAUUUGUUCAAAGAUGAAGCUACUUUCAUUAUCCAGUGGGUUUGUUCAGGCAAAUUACUGAGGUAGCCUAGAGUUGGGCAUUUUAUUUGCUGUUUGCUUGGUUAGCUAUCGGCGAAUAGGUGACCAAUCAGUGGCUUAUUAGCAUGGCGUCUUCAAAAGAUUCUUCCUUGGUGUUUUUCAUGGUGUAAAUUGCUGAAAAUCAGUUAUUUGGUGCAGAAGAAUCCUACUUGAUGGCGUUCUUGUCAGCAACAGCGGUGGCGAAAAAAUACGCGUUUAUCAGAUGCACUGUCGGUACUAGUUUUCCUGCAUCAGGGCUUAUAAUGCAGGUUGCAGUGUUAAAAGUUUCACCAGGCGAUUUUGUAUUACGCUCUGUUCCAACUUGUAGGGGAGAAAAUUGCUUCAUUGCCAUCGUUUAGGAAAUUGACAGAUGAUAAAUUAUGAUGUAUGGUUAAUUUGGUUUUUCUAACAGUUAUUCUGGUUGUUUGUUCCUGUGCUUAGGCUGUUUUAUCCGGUGGAGGUAGCUGAGCUGACGUGUUAAAGGCACCAUCAAGCAUUUGCGAAUUGUUCAAUAUUAUGUUCAAUAUGUAAUGUUAAUUUGACGAGGAAAAGUUAAUUUUGGAUAAUUGUAAAUGUUU